UACGUAGGGUGCAAGCGUUGUUCGGAAUCAUUGGGCGUAAAGCGCGUGUAGGUGGUUUGAUAAGUCGAUUGUGAAAUCCCUGGGCUCAACCGAGGAAGUGCAGUCGAAACUAUCAAGCUAGAAGAUGGUAGAGGAAGGUGGAAUUCCAAGUGUAGAGGUGAAAUUCGUAGAUAUUUGGAGGAAUACCGGCGGCGAAGGCGGCCUUCUGGGCCAUUCUUGACACUGAGACGCGAAAGCGUGGGUAGCAAACAGGAUUAGAAACCCGAGUAGUCC
rnacentral:rRNA from 1 species